rnacentral:rRNA from 1 species
CCUACGGGAGACAGCAGUGAGGAAUAUUGGUCAAUGGGCGCGAGCCUGAACCAGCCAAGUAGCGUGAAGGAUGACUGCCCUACGGGUUGUAAACUUCUUUUAUAAAGGAAGAGAGUGAGGCACGUGUGCCUUUUUGUAUGUACUUUAUGAAUAAGGAUGGGCUAACUCCGUGCCAGCAGCCGCGGUAAUACGGAGGAGCCGAGCGUUAUCCGGAUUUAUGGGGUUUAAAGGGAGCGUAGAUGGGUUGUUAAGUCCGUUGUGAAAGUUUGCGGCUCCACCGUAAAAUUGCAAUUGAUACUGGCAGUCUUGAGUACAGUUGAGGUAGGCGGAAUUCGUGGUGUAGCGGUGAAAUGCUUAGAUAUCACGCUGAACCCCGAUUGCGAAGGCAGCUUAC